AGUGAACGCUGGCGGUAGGCCUAACACAUGCAAGUCGAACGGCAGCACAGAGGAGCUUGCUCCUUGGGUGGCGAGUGGCGGACGGGUGAGGAAUACAUCGGAAUCUACUCUGUCGUGGGGGAUAACGUAGGGAAACUUACGCUAAUACCGCAUACGACCUACGGGUGAAAGCAGGGGAUCUUCGGACCUUGCGCGAUUGAAUGAGCCGAUGUCGGAUUAGCUAGUUGGCGGGGUAAAGGCCCACCAAGGCGACGAUCCGUAGCUGGUCUGAGAGGAUGAUCAGCCACAGUGGAACUGAGACGCGGUGCAGCAUCCUACGGGAGGCAGCAGUGGGGAAUAUUGGACGAUGGGCGCAAGCCUGAUCCAGCCAUACCGGGUGGGUGAAGAAGGCCUUCGAGUUGUAAAGUCCUUUUGUUGGGAAAGAAAUCCAUCUGGUUAAUACCCGGGUGGGAUGACGGUACCCAAAGAAUAAGCACCGGCUAACUUCGUGCCAGUAGCCGCAGUAA
rnacentral:rRNA from 1 species